rnacentral:tRNA from 1 species
CUCGCUUUAGCGUAGCGGCAACGCGCCCGGUUUGGGACCGGGACCACGCUGGUUCGAAUCCAGCAGGCGAGACCA